GCUCAGCACACAGGGGUCAUCGCCCAGCACCCCCAGCCUGUCUCCUGACCAGAGCGGACCCUGAGCCCCUCAGAGCAAGACCUGGACUGACAGACAGCCGCUCCUGGAGGGUCCGUGACUCUGGACUUUGCUCUGUGCGUCCUCCCAACAGCAGGACUUGCAGAGGCUUCUGCUGCGCCGGGCACCGUCUCCACCCACCACCCCUCCUUUCCUGGACUCCUUCCUGGGCUCCUCUCACUAGCAGGAGCUACAAUAAACAUUUUUUCCUUGGACUCCAUGCUAAAUACAUCGUCUGUCUGGUGUUUAUGCUUACAACACCCUUCCCCUUGUACUUACAAGGCCGCAGAGACAUCGAACUGCCAGUGUCCGUUCCUGGGUUAUUGACUUCAGUCUAUGACUGUCUUUGAAAAAAUGCAUGAGGAAGAAAGCGAGAUCCUAUUGCCUUUGUUCCUCAUCACUGACUCCUGAUGGCGAGUCCUUGCCGUAUAUAAGCCCCUAGACUCCUCAUGGGCGGGGUGUGGAGCACAGUUCUUGAGGCAUGACCCUACUGUGUUCCCCUCUCUGCUGGCUUGAGAAUAAAAGCCACCUUGGUAUUUCCUUCAAACUCUGUCUCUGUAAUUUUUAUUUGGCUGCCCUAAGAGGAGAAAGCCAAGAUUUUGGCCAGCAACCAUUCUAGCUUGGCCAUUGGUCAGUCGAGCUGCCCUGAAGACAAGUGUUCACGGUAUCAUUUUAUACAGAUCUCUGCCUAUUUCCUCUUUACCCAUGAGCGGCUCCCCAUCCCUGGGGCUCCUGGAGACUCCUCAGGCUGAGCGCUGAGCCCUGAACGUUGGAAGGUGGUCUGGAGUCACAGGACGUGCUUGCUCUCUCUGCUGAGAUGAUCUCAAUGGGGACCCAGGUUCCCCCUCCUACUGUCUAGAAGUGAUCAGACAGCAGCCACUUUCCACAGUAAGCCCUGAGGAAACUCUGGAAGGAGAAGAAUACCUGCCCUCUAGCAGCCACUAGGCUGCAGCCACUGCCCACAGUAAGCCCUGAGGAAACUCUGGAAGGAGAAGAAUACCUGCUUUCUAGCAGCCAUCAGGCUUCAGCCACUCCCCAUUGUGAGCCCUGAGGAAACUCAGGAAAGAGAAGACAGGAUACUUGCCCCAGAUGGUGAGGGAUGCUGUCCAUAAAUAAUGGCCUGCCUCAGGAAACCCCGCCCCUCUGCCUCUGUCCAGGACCUGUCCACCUGUGGAUGGAUACAGGAGGGAGAAAGUAACACAUCUCCUCCUGAGACUGGCCAUUCCAGGAGAUGUUUGCCAGAUUAAUGACCUUUUCACUGUAUUUCCUCACCUCCCAGCUCUGUGUUCUAUCAAAGACACUGGCAUCCAGACCCUGACAAGAUGGUUUCUUCAAGAUAGUCUGCUAUCUUCUCAGUCUUCUGGCUUUCCAAGUAGGGUCAUAUUCCUUGCCUCAGCACUUCGCCUCUGGUUUAUCGGCCUGUUGUGAGGCAUGCAGAGUGAGCUUGGACUUGGUAACAAUUCCACAUGCCUU